GGCGGCGAUGUGGUGGGCGCUGAGGGCAGUGCGGCGGCCGCCGCCGGCCUUCCGCAGGGGCCUGGCCAAACCGGCGCGCCCGCGGAGCGUCCGCCAGCUGAGGGAGGCCGAGGAAGCCGCUCCGGUCUUCCAGUACGCGGGGAAGGCGGCCAAGCGGAAGGACCGCGUCUUCGUGUGGGGCUUCUGCUACUCGGGCGCCCUGGGCGUCCCCAGCUUCGUGAAGCCGGACGUGGGCUGGAAGAAGCCGCGGCGGAUCCAACCCACGCCCUACCGGCUGGAAACGGAGGAGAAGAUAUCCUCUGCUGCCUGCGGUUAUGGAUUCACACUGCUGUCCUCUAACACAGCAGACAUCACCAAAGUGUGGGGCAUGGGGCUGAACAAGGAUUCCCAGCUUGGAUUCCAGAGAAGCAUAAGAGAUCGAACUAAGGGCUAUGAAUAUGUCUUGGAACCAUCUCCAGUUCCAUUACCACUGGAGAAGCCACAGGAGACUCGAGUCUUGCAGGUGUCCUGUGGGAGAGCCCAUUCCCUGAUCCUGACAGACAGUGAAGGAGUUUUCACAAUGGGGAACAAUUCUUAUGGGCAGUGUGGCCGGAAGGUUGUUGAAGAUGAAACUUACAGUGAAAGCCAUCUAAUUCAUCAGCUGAAGGAGUUUGACAGCAGAGUUGUCCAGGUUGUGUGCGGGCAGGACCACAGUCUGUUUAGAACCAAGAAAGGUGCGGUCUAUGCAUGUGGAUGGGGAGCUGAUGGACAAACUGGUCUUGGACACUACAACAUCACCAGUGUUCCUACUAAGCUACGUGGUGACAUUGCUGGAGUAAACAUUAUCCAGGUCUCUUCCUAUGGGGACUGUUGUCUGGCUGUUUCAGAUGAAGGAGACGUCUUUGGUUGGGGAAAUUCAGAAUACUUGCAGUUGGCGUCUGUCACAGAAACCACACAGGUGAAUGUUCCCAGACAUUUGCCAUUCAAGAUUGGAAAGAUAAAGGAGGCUGCGUGUGGAGGGACUGGCAAUAUUGUGCUAACGGAAGAAGGAAAUGUUUUCGUCUGGGGAUAUGGGAUUCUUGGGAAAGGACCAAACCUAAUAGAGACAGCAGUGCCAGAGAUGAUCCCACCCAGUCUUUUUGGCUGGUCAGACUUCAAUCCGGACAUCCGUGUUGCUCACGUUCGCUGUGGACUCAGCCAGUUCGCGGCACUUACAAAUAGAGGAGAACUGUUUGUAUGGGGCAAGAAUCUAAGAGGGUGCCUGGGAACUGGAAGAAUGGAAGACCAGUAUUUCCCAUGGAGGGUGACUGUACCCGGCGAGGUGGUGGAUGUUGCAUGUGGAGUUGAUCAUAUGGUAAGCAUGGUUAAGUCUUUUACCUAGUAAUAUUGCUGGGCCUCAGCGCUGUGCUAAGAAGAUGGGGGGACUUGGUGAUGAGCUUCUUGGAAAGGAAGACUCAUUCCAUGGAGCUAAGCAAGAAGUGACUGCGAGCAAAGCCAGCCACAGCAGUGCCUGGGUGCGUUGUCAUCUCUGCAUCAUUAAAACGGUCCAGCCUGGCUGCAGGAAGGAAGUACUUCCCUGAGGAGAGUGGAAAUGCAAGGAGUGCUCUGGCUGGUUCAUGAUGAGCUCCCAAAGAGUCUGAGGCCCAGCCCACAGCUGCAUCAUACUGCAAAUGUUGACAUGCAGGUGGAAAAAGGUGGACAUUCGUAGGCCCAGCUGCCCUCUGCAUGAUCGAGAAGUUGUGUGCGGGCUGUGCAACAUCAGUGACAACGAAUGGGAGAUAGAGAGGAGCAUCUCUGAGAUGCAGCAUCUUGGAGAGUCCCCGGCUGCGGUAGAGAAGCAGGCAGUGUCUUCCAGCCAGGUUCUUCAGCUCCUCCUUGCCGAGAAGCGUGUGGCAGUGGCACUGCGCAGCUGUGUUGCUUACCAAGGCUCAGACAGCACCCAGCAGCAACUGCCCUAGAACAGUCUGCAAGGGGAUGACAUUUCUCCCCUGCCCCUGUUGGGGUGCAGGGCUUGGGUGAUGCCCCACCAGGGUCUCUGCUGGGGCCCUCCAGGCUCCCAGGUGUCUCAUACUCUUCCGUGAGCAGUACAUAAAUCUCAGCUUUUCAGCAUAAGACCAGCAAAGAAAAGAAGCGUGUGCACUCGCUGGGAAAGCAAAGCAUCCACUUCUCAGCUCCACACUUCGUGCCCAGAGCACAAGCCUCAGCUGCUGCCACCACUCCCUCUGCCCCAUGGCACAAUAUUCCCCCUUGCGCAGAGGCCGGCACGAGGGCCGCUGAUGUUUUCGGUCUCCUUUAUGCCUUGGGCUGCUGAGCUCUCAGGAGCCGCUGCCUGGCCCCACCGAGCGUAGCCGGCAUCGCCCGCACGGCCAGCCGGCACGAGCAGCCUUCCCACGACGGCAGCUCGGAGCAAGGGGUACAGCACGGGCCCCUGCACAGGGGCAACAGCUCACUACAUUUUAGCCCAGAGGAACAGAACUAAAAAUCUGUCCCUAAGCACUGAUGAGGAUGAUGAGGCUCUCUCCAAAUGAACCCUCCCAGGUGCCUUAUGGUGCCCAAAGAGCAGGAGACAAGCGACGUGAGCCAGCGCCGUGCCAUGGGGCCGCAGCCGGACACGUUUGUGAGGGAGGGCUGCAGAUCCAGCGUGAGUUCCCUGGGCACUGUGGCACUGAGGAGACCCCCAAAUCCCAGCACCACCAGGACCUGCUGGCAUGGCUCAGUGGUGGGAGCAGUCUUAGGCUUCGGUAUACAAAUUAUCUUCCCAACCUGACGGAGAAAUGGCUGGUGCUGUCUAGAGAGACCAAGAAAGGGACAUCUUGGCUAGAUAUGUUCCAAAGAGGUAUGUUUCUCUGCACGUUCACACCCUAAAAUUAGAAUAUACUUUGAUACAGACUUCAUUUAUUUCCCCUGCUUAAAACAGGCCCUGUGCAUUGCUCCGCACUUACCAGAGCUUCUGCAGGGGCUGUUGCUGCUGCAGCCAGGCUUUGCUGAUCAGCCUCCAGUACACAACCCCUGUUCUUCCCCUGUGCUAAUUGGAGCUCGUAUUUCAACCGAGCUGUGCUUCAUGAAGAUUAAAUAAAGAAGAAGGCCGAGGGAUGGAAAACAGGGACUGAAGACAGCAGAAUAACUCAAGAUUCACAGUCAAGCAUUUCCCUCCCAAGUGCCCUUGGAAUAUCCCACAGCCCUCGCUGGGGAUGUGCACGGAGCAUUUCUGUACCGUCUCAGUGCUGCCAGGAUGCCUGAGGGAUAUUGCUGGCCCCUGACACAUAUGGCCCACGCAGGGGACAGACAGACAGACAGACAGAUGUAUUCAUGGGGAGAAGGUAUCUAAAUCUGGAGGCAGAUCUGCAGAUCUCGGCCAAUGUAAACACACCCCAGCACAUGCUAUAAAAUGUAAAUGCUAUUUGGCAAUGGAUUACUGGGUUUUACUCUCUAGCAGGUAAUAAAAGUUUAAUCCAAUCCAACGUUUGCAGGCAGGACUGGAACUGGUAAGUGAGAUGCCUUAAGCUGCUUACUGGAGAUGUCCACAAUAGUCAUAGUAACAGAGAGAAAAGAAAUCCUCAUCAGAGAAUGAUUUCUUGUCCAUCACCGAAUACUGCUGUGAGACACCUUCACUCGGGAGCUAGCAGCCGACGCUCAGGCUUGGGCUGAACGAAGAAUUUCUCCCUUGUCAUUGUCAGAAAAUACCAAUUAUCCAGUGCCAAGACAGGAACAUUUGCUCUUAUUGAGCACUGACUGCACCAACGCAGGACCCAGCACCUUCUACUCAAGUCACUGACCUCUAUACUAGGGAGUUUGAAUGCCCCGGUGCUCUCAAACAGUCCGUGUGGGUACAUGGAUGGGAAAAACCACAAGGAUGUGACUAAACCCUCCAGCCACAGUGCCCGACACCACCGCUACCUCAAAACACAUAGUGAUAGUUGGAGGCUUUCCCCCAAGGCGAGGUUGAGCAUCGGAAGAUUUUCUGACUACUGGGGGUUUGGGAGGGCUCGUGCCACCCUUGCUGGGAUGGUGCUACUGCGACAAAUGCAUCCCCAGGGGGUCACUGGGCUGAGUGGGGAAGCUGGGCAAGGAGAGGAGGCCUCUUUGAUUCAAAGAGGAAAAAGAAGAAUGAAAAUGCUUUCUUUUGUGUUCACAACAACAACAACGAGCAAAACUACGUACAUUCAUAUUUGCACAACUACAAAAGAAAAAAUCACUCCUUUGCAUCACUUGGUACUCCAGCUAUCCCCGCCUUUCCACGCCUGUCCACUAACAGGGACCUCUGCAGACCCCUUACUGCCAUACCACGGAAACGCGUGGGAAACAGCCGAGACAGAAAGAGGGAUGCUCACAGGAAUAGAGAAGCUGGGGCCGGCACCACAGCUGCUGCAAGUCAGCACGGACUGAAGCCAUGGCCCUUCUGCAGCCGGGGCCGUAAUGGCUGCAUUAGCUUCCACCAGGGAGGGUGCCCCCUU